rnacentral:snRNA from 1 species
UAUCUACAAGAUAAAAAAAAAAAAAACUAAAAUUGGAACGAUACAGAGAAGAUUAACAUGGCCCCUGCGCAAAAGGUGGGGCAUAAAGUUCUCCGUGUUG